rnacentral:rRNA from 1 species
AGUGAACGCUGGCGGUAGGCUUUACACAUGCAAGUCGAACGGCAGCAGGGUGGGGGUUGCUUCUCUGGGGGCGCGUGUCGCACGCGUGUGUGAUAUACCUGGACGUGUCGUUUUUAGUGGGGGAACCAGCCGGAAAACUUACGAUUAUAGCACAAAUGCCCAGGGGGUAAACUCAGGAGCUAGUAAGAGCCCUCGCGCUUUUUUAGCCCCCGAUGUCGGAUUAGCUAGUUGGGGGGGUAAAGGCUCACCAAGGCGAAGAUCUGUAGCGGGUCUGAGAGGAUGAUCAGCCACACUGGAACUGAGACACGGUCCAGACUCCUACGGGAGGCAGCAGUGGGGAAUAUUGGACAAUGGGGGCAAGCCUGAUCCAGCCAUGCCGCGUGUGUGAAGAAGGCCUUCGGGUUGUAAAGUACUUUUGUUGGGAAAGAAAAGCCGGAUGUGAAUAACGGGCGGUUCUGACGGUACCUAAAGAAUAAGCACCGGCUAACUUCGUG